AACACAACAUUGAAUUGAAACAAAAACAAAAGAUACACAAAAGAAAAGAAAGUCAAAACGUAAAAAAGAACAUAAAUAUAUUCAAAUUCAAGGUAUUUCAAAGCAAUAAUCAAAAAGAAAGAAAGAAUGUUUAGACAAUCAAAUAUCUCCAAAAGUUGCUAAAACAAAUUCAUAGAGGGGCUUAUAACAGUCCCUGUUUUUGAGAAGUUGCUGAAGGGAGAGCGGGAUUUCUUCAGCUGUACGAUAUAUGUUCAGGAGGCGGUCUAUGAGAAGCAAUCUGGGAAGAGUGAAACUACUGCAAUCAAAGAAAAGAUGUUGCAAAGUCUGAUCAGCAGAGUUACAGAAAUUACAAGCAGAAGCUGCCCAAGGGAACCAAAAUAUGAACUACUAAUUCUUGAGGAAGAAGACUGCAACUUCAGAAGCAAAGGAUGAUUUUUAAUAGAAGAAAUUUUCAAUAGAAACUUAAAGAUGAGAUAUUUGAACCUGCUUAACAAAGGAGACAACUGCAAUGAAGACAGAACAGUUGUUAAAAUAUCCAAAUUAACAUUAUUAAAAGCGCCAACAACAUCGAAGAAAAUACAACCCAAACUCUGAUCACGAGACAGAGCAUCACGGACAUCCAGACAAAAGUGACUCAGGCUUUCCCGCGCCGACCGUCCUCGACGAAAGCCAAAUUGAUUAGCUGGUUGGCGUGAGGCGGGAUGUUCGCCGAAGAGUCUGUAGCAACUGAAGGAGAAGAUGUAAAAUAAUACUUCGUCAAAGUGGGUAGAUGAUAGCUACCACCUAAGGGAUCUGACAUGACCUGCCAUUCACAUGACAAGGCCAGUGAUGAGGAAACCAAUGUUAAAUCAAGGCCAUUUGGCCGCCAACUAAGGGUACCUGUUGUCGUUGCACGUCCGUCAUUCAAGAGAACCAAUUCAUUCUCAUCCAUGGAGUCCAAGACGCUUCUGCCUCGUGUAUCAAUACUACCACACCCCCAAAUGGUGUGAUGUGCAUUGAAAUCGCCUGCAAUAAUCAACGGUUUUGGAAUACUCCGAAUCAAAUUGUCAAAUCUACCUUUAUUAAAGGUAGGAUUACAAUUACCUGGACUGUAAAAACUAGCGAUAGAUAUGUAUUUUUGAUCAAUUUGAACCUGAACUACAACGUUUUGUAGUGAGUCAUCAAAUAAAGUGUCUAAUUUACGAAAUACUAGACUUUUAUGUAUUAGAAUGGCUACUCCAUUGUGGUCAUUGCCGCAAUCAUUACGGACAGUGGAGUACCCUUUAAUAUUAAAAAUUGUACAAGAUUUAAACCAAGUUUCACUAAUAAUAGAUAUAUGUAUGUUAUUAUCAAAGACAAAUUUUUCAAAUUCAUGUCUAUUACUUAACAAACUCUGUGCGUUCCACUGCAUUAUAUUUAUUGUUUGGGCUGAGAAUUUGAAGGAUUUUUAUUUUUAUGCUGAAUAGUUUCUUUUAUUGUAUCUGUUAUCAUUUGAGAGCUAAUACUUGUGUUGUUUACUUUGUUUAAUGUAAUAACUUUUAUUAUAGAUUCUGUGAGCAAAGUUAAUGCGUUUUUAUUAGAUAGAAUUAAAUUUAUUAAUUCCCGACUAUUUUCUGUUUUGCUGAGUGAUGGAAAGUGUUUAUUUUUAUUGCUGAAUAAAUCUGAAAAAGGUGUCGGCAUAA
rnacentral:lncRNA from 1 species